GAACCGAUGCCAUGGGGCACGUGCAAGUAAGGGGUGGUGUCACUACAUAGAUAGACCGUAUAUGAAGAGGGCAACUGUAAAGUACCAUUUUUACGGCCUUGUUUGGGCUUUCCAGAUUUGGUCGUAUCAGGCCAUUCAAGCACUAGGAAUGAAAUGUGGAGUUCAAGACCGAAAGAUAUAUUGCCUCGAUAUUAAGGUGGAGCCAAAGCUGGACAAUAGAACUUAUUAUAAGUAUGUCAUCGACGAUCCAAAGGGUCGGAUCUGAAUGAAGGGAUGGUGUCACUACAUAGAUAGACUGUAUAUGAAGAGGGCAACUGUAAGGUACCAUUUUUACGGCCAAGUUUGGGCUUUUCAGAUUUGGUCGCAUCAGGCCAUUCCGACACUAGGAAAGAAAUGUGGAGUUCAAGACUGAAAUAUAUAUUGCCUCAAUAUUUAUGGUGGAGCGAAAGGUGGAUAAUAGAACUUAUUAUAAGUAUGUCAUCGAUGAUCUAAAGUUUAUGUAUCCUAACUGGGGCGGUCGUUGGAGGGCCGGAUCAGAAUGAUUGGUUCCCGGAUCAACGUGGCAAUUACGAGCAAUCAUAACCCACCACCUA